rnacentral:misc_RNA from 1 species
UCCGGUUUAUCACCGGCAGUCUCCACAGAGUCCUCGGCUUCACCCGUUAGUAACUGUGAACAAGGGUUGCGCUCGUUGCGGGACUUAACCCAACAUCUCACGACACGAGCUGACGACAACCAUGCACCACCUGUACAGGACCCUUGCGGACCCCCCAUCUCUGGAGGAUUUCCCUGUAUGUCAAGCCUAGGUAAGGUUCUUCGCGUUGCUUCGAAUUAAGCCACAUGCUCCACCGCUUGUGCGGGCCCCCGUCAAUUCCUUUGAGUUUUAAUCUUGCGACCGUACUCCCCAGGCGGAAUGCUUAAUGCGUUAGCUGCGCCACCGACGAGCAAGCUCGCCAACGGCUGGCAUUCAUCGUUUACGGCGUGGACUAC